rnacentral:pre_miRNA from 1 species
UGACCUCUGCAGGCUGGCCGGUCGGCCCAGGUGGGGCCGGGCGAGUCUCUUCCAAAGGCUCACCCUCAAGCACCACCAGGAGC